GAGACGAAGCACGAGCAGUCUGAGCGGAGAAGCAGACGGAGGACAAGUUAAGGAGUCUAGCUCUGGGGAAAGAUUAGAUUGCCGCUGAACAGGGAAAAGACUUUGUUAUCGCAGGCGGGAAUACAGAUGUAAUAGACUUAAGACAGAAUGGAGAAUUCAUGAAAACCUACUGCACACAUUUUUUUUCUCCCCUGAAGAAGCUGUUUUAGAUAAGAAAGAAGAGAAUUAUAACUCGGGAUGGAAAUGAGAAUCCAACGUUAUCACAGCUGGGCCUAUUCUUUUAAACAGGUGACUAGAGUAAGACUUAAUUUUCUUCUUCUUUAUAAUGUCUUUAGGGGUUUCUUAACACUUUAGUCUUGCCAUGCUGUUCAUGUGCAUAUGCUCUGACACGUUAAAGCCUGGAAUCUAAAGCAUGUAGCUGCACCCACCCCCCCUUUAUCCAUGCGGCCUUGCUUUAAGCCCCUUAUGUAAAGUAAAAGCUUUCUGUAAGUCUGGUUUGUUGUAGCGUAGUGUAGCAUUUAUCUUUUGUUUUUAUUUUUUUUUAAUGCUGGCACUUAAGACAUGGACGUGAUGUUGAGAAUACAUGAAAGGCACCGGUGAGGUACAGCAGAGCCGUGAGUGAGGAAAUAAUUUGUUUUCUCCUGUUUGAAGCAAAGGAAAUGUUAAUCGCUCUGGAAGUUAGUGCGACAUAACCUCACUAAAACAAAUUAACUCGAGGAUUGUUGCUUACGUUCGCUGCCGUGUGAGUAAAGCGAAAUAAAGAAACAUCUGGGUUGUUGAAAAAGAGAAAACAUCUGGGAGAAAACGUCUUGUUGAUGACAGAGGUCAGCGGGCAAGAACAAGACUGCUUUGAGUUGACAGGAAGGCAACAGUAACAUCAAAUAACCACCCAUUACAACCAAGGUGUGCAGAAGGGCAUCUCUGAAUGUGCUGCACAAAAAUGCCAUUAUAUAAUAUAAAUGUAUUUCUGCUGCAGGGGUCCCACAGCUGCAAAGUUUUUCCUGCACAGCUGCACAAUUUAAGCCUCAUCCUGUGUCUCUUACUGUCACUGUGUGGUCAGGGGGACUGUUUUCUACGCCAUCUACAUGGCUGGUGGACUCCUGAUUGCAGCCACUGUUGACUUGGCUGUGAGGACAGCUCAUAACCCCGACAACCUGCUGCGCCUGUCACACACUCUCAUCAACCUCGUAGGCAACAGGUGUCAAAAAUAUGUUGUAAGAAAGUCCUUUAAGUCCAGUUCUAAUAAGAAUCUGCAUGCAUAGCUACUCUAGUAGAGUCCAAGAGAGCUUUAAACACCACUGAUCCCAUUUUUAGUUAAAUGUACUGCCAAAUCAAACAGACUUUUACUCUAUUCUAAUUAUGUGCUCCUUCAUAUCUUGCAGGUUAAGUCUUUGGUAAAACAAAAACUGAAACAUCUGCACCUCACUGAGAGGUUCGGGAAAAACUGUUCCUCAGUUUGUGCUGCUUACAUAUACAUAAAUGGGACAAAUGUACAUGUUUUUUAAUAGACUUCCACAUGUUUCCAGUCUCAGCAGUCUCCUUGACGUGACAAGACUGAGCGAAAUUGACUAUUUUAAGGUUUUACAGGGAGAUCUCGGUUCCCCUGACAAUCCAACAAACCUGGAGUCAAAGCCUGCCAACUGGAUCUAAAAAAAAAGGUGCAGGGUUUAUUACAUCUUCCUGUGUUGUUCGAAGCGCCAGCGAAUUCUGAAACUGCACAUUAGAGCCAACGACAUCAGGCUGAAAGCGUUCAGGCCUUCGAAUAAACUACAGUGGCUUGUUGAGUUUGGCAGAAAGGCACAUGCAAGGGGAGAUAUAGUAUUUAUUUUGCUGGAUGGACAAACAGGACAAAUCGGCCUUGGCUUUGAAAGAAACGAUGCUGCAAAUGAGCGCCGCCCGACAAGUUUUGCUCUGUGGGUAUCUGCUCUGUCCGUGGCUCUGCUUUGGAUGCUCCUGCCUCACAUUGCUCUUUGUGCAGUGAUGUGGUUCGGCUGGAGAGUACAACAACACAUCAGCUGAGUCAGCCGCUGUCACAGAGAUGCUAAUCUACCGUAACUCUUAACGAAUAGGCUCAAACUUCUUCGUGCAACCUCAAAUCGUUGCUUAUCCCUCCAACAUGACCGAAAACCAUCUUACAUUUGGUUUUACCUCCACACAGGUGGCUUCAGAGCUUAAAGUGCAUUUCUAAUAAUUACCAGCACACUGUCUCCUCUCUGCUUCAUAUCAAAUAAUAAUCACUGCUUAUUCUGCAGAUCCCAUUUAUCAUUUUAUUGUUCCCAACAACUCAAACACCUCUCUACUGGCUUAAAAAAAACCCAAUAUGUAUAUAUAUUAAACGUGUGCAAUGUAGACUGUACACAGAAGAUGGACAAUGGUUGAUGUCAUGACCACUGAAACUGCACACUCAUUGGCUACUGACUUGCCAAUCACAAAUCAUCAGCCAAUGAGCCUAUUCUAGAUAAUCCUCCUUUCUGACACUAAAUAACUCAAACACAACAGAAUUGACGUUUUAGUCAAAACCAGUGGCUGAUCUCAUAAACUCAACAGGAAAAUGUGGACAUGGGUACAGACAGGAAGCUCACAGACUUGUGGUUUUUCAUUUGACAUCAUGUGAACAUUGUUCAGCAGCUGUCUGCCAAAACCUCAAUAGGACUGGAAGCCCUUAUGCAGUCAGCGGCGUCAUGCCUUGGUGCCCAUUAAAGCCAGUUCAGAGUUAAGACACUCACUCAUUGGCUUUAUUUUCCAGUCCCAGGAGGUGCAUCCAUCUGUUUUAUGUAUAGUCGAUGGCAGACAUGUUUUUUAUUUACCUCCUUGCUGUCCUGCACUACAAUUUGUUGUCUUUUUAAAUAAAGUUAAAC